rnacentral:rRNA from 1 species
CGUGAUGGCGACCGGCGCACGGGUGAGUAACACGUAUCCAACCCGCCCUUUACUCGGGGAUAGCCUUUCGAAAGAAAGAUUAAUACCCGAUAGCAUAAUGAUUCCGCAUGGUUUCAUUAUUAAAGGAUUCCGGUAAAGGAUGGGGAUGCGUUCCAUUAGGUUGUUGGUGAGGUAACGGCUCACCAAGCCUUCGAUGGAUAGGGGUUCUGAGAGGAAGGUCCCCCACAUUGGAACUGAGACACGGUCCAA